AUUGAACGCUGGCGGCAGGCCUAACACAUGCAAGUCGAACGAGUGGCGGACGGGUGAGUAAUCUCUGGGAAACUGCCAGAUGGAGGGGGAUAACUACUGGAAACGGUAGCUAAUACCGCAUACCAUCGGAUGUGCCCAGAUGGGUUUAGCGAGUAGGUGGGGUAACGGCUCACCUAGGCGACGAUCCCUAGCUGGUCUGAGAGGAUGACCAGCCAUCCUGGAACUGCAAUACGUUCCAGACUCCUACGGGAGGCAGCAGUGGGGAUUAUUGCACAAUGGGCGCAAACCUGAUGCAGCCAUUCCGCGUGUAUGAAGAAGGCCUUCGGGUUGUAAAGUACUUUCAGCGAGGAGGCGUUACUCGCAGAAGAAGCACCGGGUAACUCCGUGCCAGCAGCCGCGGUAAUAC
rnacentral:rRNA from 1 species